GAUGAACGCUGGCGGCGUGCUUAACACAUGCAAGUCGAACGAAGCAUUUCGGCCAGUUUCCUUCGGUUUGAGGUUCUUUAUGACUGAGUGGCGGACGGGUGAGUAACGCGUGGGUAACCUGCCUUGUACUGGGGGAUAGCAGCUGCAAACGGCUGCUAAUACCGCAUAAUCGCACAAUGUUGCAUUACAUGGUUUGAAAAACUCCGGGGGUAUAGGAUGGAGCCGCGUCUGAUUAGCUAGUUGGUGGGAUAACAGGGCACCAAGGCGACGAGCAGUAGCCGAGCUGGGAGGGUGACCGGCCACAUUGGGAAUGAGACACGGACCAGACUGCGACGGGAGGCAGCAGUGGGGAAUAUUGUACAAGGGAGGAAACUGUGAUGAAGCGACGCCGGGUGAGUGAAGAAGUAAUUCGUUAUGUAAAGCUCUAUCAGCAGGGAAGAUAGUGACGGUACCUGACUAAGAAGCUCCGGCUAAAUACGUG
rnacentral:rRNA from 1 species